UCCCUGGCAGUCCAGUGGUGAGGACAUUACACUUUCACUGCUGUGGCCUAGGUUCAAUCCCUGGACAGGGAA
rfam:TPA: Bos taurus chromosome 17, whole genome shotgun sequence.